rnacentral:rRNA from 1 species
AUUGAACGCUGGCGGCAGGCCUAACACAUGCAAGUCGAGCGGAUGAAGAGAGCUUGCUCUCUGAUUUAGCGGCGGACGGGUGAGUAAUGCCUAGGAAUCUGCCUGGUAGUGGGGGAUAACGUUCCGAAAGGAACGCUAAUACCGCAUACGUCCUACGGGAGAAAGCAGGGGACCUUCGGGCCUUGCGCUAUCAGAUGAGCCUAGGUCGGAUUAGCUAGUUGGUGAGGUAAUGGCUCACCAAGGCUACGAUCCGUAACUGGUCUGAGAGGAUGAGCAGUCACACUGGAACUGAGACACGGUCCAGACUCCUACGGGAGGCAGCAGUGGGGAAUAUUGGACAAUGGGCGAAAGCCUGAUCCAGCCAUGCCGCGUGUGUGAAGAAGGUCUUCGGAUUGUAAAGCACUUUAAGUUGGGAGGAAGGGCAGUAAGUUAAUACCUUGCUGUUUUGACGUUACCGACAGAAUAAGCACCGGCUAACUUCGAGCCAGCCGCCGCAGUAAAAC